AAACUAGAACUCAAAUCCCUCGU
rnacentral:siRNA from 1 species